rnacentral:rRNA from 1 species
UGGGGAAUAUUGGACAAUGGGGGCAACCCUGAUCCAGCAAUGCCGCGUGUGUGAAGAAGGCCUUCGGGUUGUAAAGCACUUUAGGCGGGGAAGAAGGUUAUUUGUUUAAGAGAUGAGUAAUUUGACGGUACCCGCAGAAUAAGCACCGGCUAACUCUGUGCCAGCAGCCGCGGUAAUACAGAGGGUGCAAGCGUUAAUCGGAUUUACUGGGCGUAAAGGGCGCGUAGGUGGUUGUUUAAGUGAGAUGUGAAAUCCCCGGGCUUAACCUGGGAACUGCAUCUUAUACUGGAUAACUGGAGUGCAAUAGAGGGUAGUGGAAUUUCCGGUGUAGCGGUGAAAUGCGUAGAUAUCGGAAGGAACACCAGUGGCGAAGGCGGCUACCUGGAUUGACACUGACACUGAGGCGCGAGAGCGUGGGGAGCAAACAGGAUUAGAUACCCCCGUAGUCC